UCUAUAUUGGUUGGGUAAUACCUUCCAAACCUCCCACCCUUUGUUUACAUACCUUUGUUGCUUUGGCAGGCCCGUCUUUUAGACCGCCGGCUUCGGCUAGCCAGUGCCUGCCAGAGGACCUAAAACUCUGUUUAAUUGUAUUGUCUGAGUACUAUAUAAUAGUUA
rnacentral:misc_RNA from 1 species